rnacentral:rRNA from 1 species
UACGUAGGGUGCAAGCGUUGUCCGGAAUUAUUGGGCGUAAAGAGCUCGUAGGCGGUUUGUUGCGUCGGCUGUGAAAUCCCGAGGCUCAACCUCGGGUCUGCAGUCGAUACGAGCAAACUAGAGUGUUGCAGGGGAGACUGGAAUUCCUGGUGUAGCGGUGGAAUGCGUAGAUAUCUGGAAGAACACCGGUGGCGAAGGCGGCUCGCUGGGCUGGUUCUGACACUCAUCCGCGAAAGCGUGGGGAGCAAACAGG